rnacentral:rRNA from 1 species
CUUUAACUGAUAUGAAGAGCUUGCUCUGAUUUGAUUUCCCCUUACAAAGAGUGGCGAACGGGUGAGUAACACGUGGGUAACCUUUCUAUUAGCAGGGGAUAACAUUUGGAAACAAGUGCUAAUACCGUAUAAUACCAACAACCGCAUGGUUGUUGGUUGAAAGAUGGUUCUGCUAUCACUAAGAGAUGGACCCGCGGUGCAUUAGCUAGUUGGUAAGGUAACGGCUUACCAAGGCAAUGAUGCAUAGCCGAGUUGAGAGACUGAUCGGCCACAAUGGGACUGAGACACGGCCCAUACUCCUACGGGAGGCAGCAGUAGGGAAUCUUCCACAAUGGGCGCAAGCCUGAUGGAGCAACGCCGCGUGUGUGAUGAAGGGUUUCGGCUCGUAAAACACUGUUAUAAGAGAAGAACGGCACUGAGAGUAACUGUUCAGUGUGUGACGGUAUCUUACCAGAAAGGAACGGCUAAAUACGUGCCAGCAGCCGCGGUAAUACGUAUGUUCCAAGCGUUAUCCGGAUUUAUUGGGCGUAAAGCGAGCGCAGACGGUUAUUUAAGUCUGAAGUGAAAGCCCUCAGCUCAACUGAGGAAUGGCUUUGGAAACUGGAUGACUUGAGUGCAGUAGAGGAAAGUGGAACUCCAUGUGUAGCGGUGAAAUGCGUAGAUAUAUGGAAGAACACCAGUGGCGAAGGCGGCUUUCUGGACUGUAACUGACGUUGAGGCUCGAAAGUGUGGGUAGCAAACAGGAUUAGAUACCCUGGUAGUCCACACCGUAAACGAUGAGUGCUAGAUGUUCGAGGGUUUCCGCCCUU